CAGAGGGACAGGAAGCUUUGAAAGAGCUGCUCAGCAGUAAGACCUGUGAGCUGGAACAAGAAAACCUGAAACUUAAGAGCCAGCUGAAGACUACGGGCUGAGCUGGACCAGACCAACAGUUCCUUGAGAACACUGGAGACAGCUGGUGGUCAUGGAGAAACACCGUCAGGCAUUACUGGUUAAGAGACAGACACAAGAGCUGCUGUCAGAGAGGGAGAGCAGGAGAAGACUGGAGUCUGAAGUGGAGGCUCUGUGCUCACAAGAGCGAGAGCUCAAAGGCAAAGCAGAGAGACUGGAAGCAGCUUUAUACAAGUUUUGCUGAAUGCCAAGAUUUUAUUCAGAAAUAGGAACAGGAGUUUAUGAGGCUGAAACUGCAGCAUGCAUUAGAUCUAAAGGAAUUGCAAAGCCAGAACUGGCGUAACGUUUCCAGAUCUCCAGUCAGCAGCUGUAUCCUACAGACUCAUCUUCCCCUCGCUCAGCAUAACGUUAAUGGCCUAAUGGAGAUGAGAGUCUCUGACCCCCUUGUGGAGUUGAAGAGGUUUUUAAGAGAGCUGCGUGGUGGGAUUGCUGAAGAGCAAGGACCACACACUACCUUAAGCUUCAGGAGGAGACCCGAGGAAGACCACAAAUCUAGACAGAACUAA
rnacentral:lncRNA from 12 species